CUGAUGCCUCUGGGGUGGAACGCAGCAUCUGUUUAACGCGGCAGCAGGUGACAGAUUACAGCGCUUGGGAAGAAGCUCCCCAUAUCUAAUUGAAAAUCCCAGGGGAGCUUUAGCCCUUACCCUGACGCGCCCUGACUGAUUGAGUCACCACUGAGACACACUCCCAGGCCCUGAAGACGUGACACCUUGGCUGACACUGCUCUUCUCAAGACCCCUGGAAGUGGAUUUAUCCGCUCAGGUUUUGAGUCACCAAGAAAGCAGAGCCAAACAUCACUUUGCAAGCUGGAGCCCUACCCCGAAAUGUGGAGCCAAGCACUUCCAGCCCAAGACACACUGUCACCUGUGUGUCUGGUGCCGGCGACAGGAAGCUGCGCAGACCUUCUAGGGGCCUGACAAUCCCGGACCAUCAGCGCCCGGGGACUCCUGUCCCUCCUCCCUGCAGGGACAAGGGAGAGCCCACGGGACUCGAAUUUAAGGAGCUGAGUCUGGACAUUCCUGCCAUACUCCAACAGUCAGCUGCAUCUUUUCUUCACAUUACAUCAUGUGCCAUUCAACACAGACGGACGGAUGCCUUUUUAGAACAACCCAAAGCAUGCCUCAGCUCUGUGCUCUUGUUUUCCAAAUGAAAUCACAGAUUUCUCACCUUCAUCCUUUCCUUGCCAAUUUUAAAACUGUAUUUUUUGGACCUCCUCCGUGGGUCCAGGCUGGCUCCACGGUCGCCGUCCCCUCCAUGCUCCCCUGAGUGGCAUGCUGAGCACACCUGGGGUCACGAAGCGUCAAAAACGGGAAAAGCUCCCCUCUGUUCACAGGCACAGGGAGGAAGGCGCAGCGAGGGGCAGGAGCAGCCCCGGACCACAGAGUCGGCCGACACAGACGUUCUGCCCAGGCGCCGGGACCCCAUCCCCUCAACAAAGUAAACCCGAAUGUAAGAGACCCCGGGCUUCCCAGGUUCCUUUCCUGCAAGCCUUCUCUGGGCCUUUCCUAAGCCCAUGCUCACUGCGGUGGCCCCAGGGGCAGAGGGUUUGUUGGCAGUGUUUCCAAGGCUCCUUACCCAAGGAUGCACAAUUCACAAAGUGUCCCAGAGAGCCAGGGAGCCCGACACCCACAGGCACCCAGCCCCAGAGCACUGCCCAGCCGGAAAGACUGCCCUUGGGGAGGUGUGGGGCCACACGGCCCGGCAUUCUGUGCACGCUCCUCAGCCUUGCCCUGAGCUGCUCCCAGGUGGGCCUGGCUGAAGGUGUGUAUGGUGUUCUGUUCACCUGAGCAACUCCACAGCCUCCAGCACAGAACCUGAAACAUCCAGAGCCUGUUGAUUGACAGAUGCAAAUGCCAUUAAAUGAGAAUAUUUGAAACCACUCAUCCUAACUUAAGCAAAGCCGAGUAGCACCUCUCUGGGGAAAGCCAUUAAACACUGAGGAUUCGCCAUGGUGCACGAUUCCCUUGAUGCAGCUGCCAGGCUCGGGCUAGGGGCUUGAGUGGCCAGGCCGGUGACCAGCUGCUCCCUCUGUCCUGAUACGGCUGUAGGUCACAGAGUAGUAGCAGCUGUACUAGGAAUGGCUCUGUUCCAGCAGUUUCUUGUCUAAUCCUUGCAGCACCCCCUGAGAUAGAGGUCUUAUCUCCACCUAACAACUCAGAACAGAGGCUCAGAGACAGACGUGUCUGCAAGGGGCAGAGUCAGGGCUCCCACUCGGGUCCGCCGAGCUGUCCUCUCAUCCACUCUGCUGUCUGGCGGGGUAAGGGACAGGCGGUGCGCUGUGGUGCCCUCGGGCCACCUGGAGGCAGGAAGUCCCUGAUGUGUGGAGGCCGCCUGCUCCCGCAGACUUUCCUGCCCUAGUCCUAGUCCGGGGGCAUGUGCAGGGUCCACGUGCAGAGCCCCAGGACCGAAGGGCAGAAGCGGCUUACCCUGUGGGCUCCGUCUGAGGCCUGGCUCCCUCCCUCAGGAUCCUCAGUUGCCUUCGUCGGGUUCCGGUCUUGCUCCUCUCCCCGACUCCCACCUCCUCGCCCUGGACUGAUGGUCAGAGUGUGCCCAGUGUUGCCGGCCUCCCGAGACGCCCAGAUUUCUGACCCACCGUGGCCACGAGCCCACUCACCUGCUCUGAGGUGCCCAGGUGCCUCUACACUAAGUCCCAGCCCUCCUAGUCAGCCCUCCCCGCGGCCAGUCCCGCGUGGGGAAGCCUGCCCAGGGGCGAGGUCUCGGAUGCUGACAGGGGGCCUGUCCUUAACCGCCGUUAGUUUUAGAAGUCCUAGAACCAUUCGAGGAAUAAACAAGCCUUGUGAGUUUUUUAGCCUCUUAGGUGAACGUAACAUUAAACAUGCAGGAUAUUAAAAAUGGUAAC